CCUACGGGGGGCAGCAGUCGAGAAUCAUUCACAAUGGGGGAAACCCUGAUGGUGCGACGCCGCGUGGGGGAAUGAAGGUCUUCGGAUUGUAAACCCCUUUCAUGUGGGAGCAAAUUAAAAAGAUAGUACCACAAGAGGAAGAGACGACUAACUCUGUGCCAGCAGCCGCGGUAAUACAGAGGUCUCAUGCGUUGUUCGGAAUCACUGGGCGUAAAGGGUGCGUAGGCUGUUUCGUAAGUCGUGUGUGAAAGGCGCGGGCUCAACCCGCGGACGGCACAUGAUACUGCGAGACUAGAGUAAUGGAGGGGGAACCGGAAUUCUCGGUGUAGCAGUGAAAUGCGUAGAUAUCGAGAGGAACACUCGUGGCGAAGGCGGGUUCCUGGACAUUAACUGACGCUGAGGCACGAAGGCCAGGGGAGCGAAAGGGAUUAGAUACCCCGGUAGUC
rnacentral:rRNA from 1 species